rnacentral:lncRNA from 10 species
ACUCCAUCUCAAAAAAAAUAAUUAAUUAAUUUAAAAAAUAAAAAAAAUAAGUGGGGCCUCUUGUUCAAAAUCAUUAACAAUUGCAAAACAGAGCAUGACACAGCUGUGAAGCUAGCUCUGUACAUGUCUGCUUCCACUUACCCCCAAUCUGGUUGUUGAACAUUACAACUUCACCACUCAACACAGAGCUUUCUAUGCUGGCCAAACCCAUGAGUCAUACAAUGUCAAAUCAGACAA